rnacentral:rRNA from 1 species
UACGUAGGGUGCGAGCGUUGUCCGGAAUUAUUGGGCGUAAAGAGCUUGUAGGCGGUUUGUCGCGUCUGCUGUGAAAAUCCGGGGCUCAACCCCGGACUUGCAGUGGGUACGGGCAGACUGGAGUGUGGUAGGGGAGACUGGAAUUCCUGGUGUAGCGGUGGAAUGCGCAGAUAUCAGGAGGAACACCGAUGGCGAAGGCAGGUCUCUGGGCCACUACUGACGCUGAGAAGCGAAAGCUAGGGGAGCAAACGGG